UCUUGCCAGUAUUAUAUACUUAUAUUAAAGAUUAAGCCAUGCAAAUGUUAGAUCGAAUUUUUUAACUUUUAAUCUGUUGAUGGCUCAAUACAAGAGUUAUUUACUCUUCGUUUGCCAGCACAGCUAAGGAUAACGUAGCCAACAGCAGCGAUAAUACUCGAAUAAAUAGGGUGCAAAAACACCUUAAUGAUAGGAGAAGUAGAUUUAAGCCUAUCACAACCAAACUAUUUUGCUUUGAUACCGUUAAAAGUUGAGAGGUAAAAUAUUGGAUGUUGACCGAUUUGUAUAAUGAGAUAAGGCCACACGUUUUCAUAGAUGUAUCGGCGUAUCUUUAAUAAGAUGGCCAAAUGUAUGUGUUUCUUAUCUAUCAGUUUCAGAUGUUUUAUUAAGGAUGAAACAUGGCUUUUACGGAUACGGAGAAUUAGAGUUUGAUACCGGAGAGGGCGCUUGAGGAUUGGCGACCACGUCUAAGGAUGGCAGCAGGCGCGAAAAUUGUCCAAUAUUGACUUAAUGAGACAGUGACGAUAAAUAACGACCUUUAACUUUUCGUUAAAGGGUAUCCUUUGGGUUUGUAAUGGUUGUACAUUAAAAUUCUACAAGAGUAACGAUUGGAGGAAAAGUCUGGUGCCAGCACCCGCGGUAAUUCCAGCUCCAAUAGCGUAUUCUAAAAUUGUUGCAGUUAAAACGCUCGUAGUUUGACUAAAAAUACAAAUGUGUGAGCAGUGUCAAAUGCGGCUAUCUUUUUAUGAUUCAGUUCGUUUAAAGAAGCUGUGCCCAAGGCAAAAAUUUUGACAUUUUUAGAUCACGCCAAACUUACUGUAGCUUGCUACUUUAGGCUGUGUGUUAUCGCUUACAUAAUGAAGUAUUUGCUGUUUCCAACUGUGAGUAAAUCAAAGUGCUUAAAACAAGCUAACUAUUUAUAGUGUAGCAUGAAUGGUUUAGCAUGGUAUUGGAUUAAUAUUUUCUUCAAAUAUUAAAAGAGAACUAGGCAGAGGGUUUUUGCAUUGUAUUGUUAGAGGUGAAAUUCAGAGAUCGAUACAAGACUCACAAAUGCGAAGGCAGUUAUACCCAUGACAUUUCUAUCAAUCAGGAACGAAAGUUGGGGGAUCGAAGAUGAUUAGAUACCGUCGUAGUCCUAACCGUAAACUAUAUCGACAGGAGAUUGGAUGAUGAACCCUUUCUCCAGAUCCUUUCAGCAUUCAAGGGAAACCGAAAGUUUUUAGGUUCUGGGGGGAGUAUGGUCGCAAGGCUGAAACUUAAAAGAAUUGACGGAAGAACACAACCAGGAGUGGAAUUUGCGGCUUAAUUCGACCCAACACGGGAAAACUCACCAGGACCGGAUAAACGAGCAGGAUUGACAGGUUGAAGUCCUUUCAUGAUUUCUUACAUGGUGGUGCAUGGCCGUUCUUAGUACGUGAAUUGAUUUGUCUGGUUAAUUCCGAUAACGUACGAGACCUUAACACAUUAAUUAGGCAAUCGUUGAUUAACUCUCUCAUGUUUCUACGGAAAUCGAUUAUGGAACAUAAGUUUCGAGCUUCUUAAUUGGGACUAUGUAUCGUUACCACAAUUAUAUUAGUACAAGGAAGUUUAAGGCAAUAACAGGUCUGGAAUGCCCUUAGAUGUCCUGGGCAGCACGCGUAUUACAAUGUUAGUUUAAACGAGAAAAAAUUUUCGGAUUUAUUCGGAAAUACCAAGCUUGGGUAACCUUUAUAAAAGGCUAGGGAAUCUUUUGAAUUACUAACGUGACUGGGAUAGAUGGUUGUAAUAUCGUCUUCAACGAGGAAUUCCUAGUAAGUGCAAGUCACUAACUUGUAUUGAUUACGUCCCUGUUCUUUGUACACACCGCCCGUCGCUCCUACCAAUGGAACAAAAAGAUGAAAGCGAUGAACUGAUGUUAUGUUGGAAAAUUAAUUAAAUCUUUUUGUUUGUAGGAAGGAGAAGUCGUAACAAG
rnacentral:rRNA from 1 species